GCAGCCGCGGUAAUACGGAAGGUCCAGGCGUUAUCCGGAUUUAUUGGGUUUAAAGGGAGCGUAGGCGGGAUGAUAAGUCAGUUGUGAAAGUUUGAGGCUCAACCUUAAAAUUGCAAUUGAAACUGUUGUUCUUGAGUGCACGCAGGGGUGCUGGAAUUCAUGGUGUAGCGGUGAAAUGCUUAGAUAUCAUGAAGAACUCCGACGGCGAAGGCAUGUGCCCGGAGUGCAACUGACGCUGAGGCUCGAAAGUGCGGGUAUCAAACAGGAUUAGAUACCCC
rnacentral:rRNA from 1 species